rnacentral:rRNA from 1 species
AUUGAACGCUGGCGGCAGGCCUAACACAUGCAAGUCGAGCGGGGCGGCGGACGGGGGAGUAAGGGCUAGAUAUCUGCCUGUUACCAGUGGCUAACGUUCGGUAACGGGCGCUAAUACCGCAUACUAUCAGAUGAGGCUAGGUCGGAUUAGCUAGUUGGUGGGGUAAAGGCUUACCAAGGCGACGAUCCGUAACUGGUCUGAGAGGAAGAGCAGUCACACUGGGACUGAGACACGGUCCAGACUCCUACGGGAGGCAGCAGUGGGGAAUAUUGGACAAUGGGCGAAAGCCUGAUCCAGCCAUGCCGCGUGUGUGAAGAAGGUCUUCGGAUUGUAAAGCACUUUAGGUUGGGAGGCGGUACCUACAGAAUAAGCACCGGCUAACUUCGUGCCAGCAGCCGCGGUAAUUC